rnacentral:rRNA from 1 species
UACAGAGGGGCAAGCGUUGUUCGGAAUUACUGGGCGUAAAGGGCGCGUAGGCGGCCUUCUAAGUCGAACGUGAAAUCCCCGGGCUCAACCCGGGAACUGCGUCCGAUACUGGAAGGCUUGAAUCCGGGAGAGGGAUGCGGAAUUCCAGGUGUAGCGGUGAAAUGCGUAGAUAUCUGGAGGAACACCGGUGGCGAAGGCGGCAUCCUGGACCGAG